CUUUUUUCCCAAUCCAUCCAUCGAUCCCACCGAACCCUUCCAGAUCAAGAGAGAGCUCGCCUCCCCACUUACAGAUCCCCGCCGCCAGCUCCCUCCAACGGAGCUCGCCACCGUCCAUGGCCUCCCCCACGCCCUCCUGCUCUCGCCCCUCCCCUUCCCUUCCCACAGCACACGGAACGCUCUCCUUCCUUGAUCCCCUUCCUUACCGAGAACAUGCGCCGCCACCUCGUUCUCCCUGAUCUGAAUCGACGAUGCUGGCUCUCACACCUCGUCGGCCCCGCUCGCCCAGACUACCCCUCCUCAGCCUCCCGUCCCCGGCGGCGCCCUCCUCUCUGCGCCCUCGCGUCCUCUCCCCUGCCCCGGCCCGCGCGAGGGUUGGCCUUGCCGACACGUAGGGCUCGGACGGCAAGGGCGAGGGGGAUGCUGGUGGGGCGGGAGGCCUCGUUGGGGAGGACUCGGUCGUGUUCCGGCUGGCCUACCAGUGGGUGGCGUCCUGGGCCUACUUCGCCAGGAUACUCUCCGUGGUGCUCUACAGGCUCAACGUGCUCUGGAUCGACCCUCCACCGGGGCUGGGACUGGGUUCCUCGCCGCCGUCGCCACUGUCUCUGACAGCCCCGAGGUUAUGAUCAUCGACUACGGGUUGAGCAUGGAAGAGGAGUGAGCACUUGCAUCGGAGGAAAUCCUAUUGACAGAACCUCGGCCUGUUGCUGAACUUCAAGUCGAGGCGGCACACAAGGCGCUGCUCUUCAAGUCGAGGGAGUCGCUGACCGUGAGGAACCUGCACUUGGAGCUCGUCUACAACUACUCUGGCUUGAAGCAUGUGGGUGUUCAGUCAUGGUUUUGAACCUGUCUGUCAGUUUCUUGCUGAUAACCCUGCUUGAAUUGUUUGAAUCUCGCCGAACAUGUCAGUUUGUUGCUAAUUGCAUGAGUUUGAGUACCACAAAUCUGAAGUUUUGAACUUUCUUACCCUGACGGUUGUAGUGUAAAAAGUGAAAAAAGUCAAAACCUAGCUGAAACUUUCUUGCUUUGGACAUCUAGUGUUAGCACUCUUAAGUAUGGAGCCUUGAGUCAAGAGCUUCUUGUAAUUGUAAUGACUAAAUAAUGGUUGUGUAUCUACUACUAUCGUAGAGGUGACUGAUUUUGUUCUGUACAUUAUAAUAGCACGUGGAGUCCUGUUUGUUUCA